UGAGCGAGCGUGGCUCCACCGAGGCGCUGGUGUGCAGCGUGCUAAAAAUGCUGCGUUCGCGGCCACUCUGGACUACGAAAAUUCCUUACACACCAAAGCGGGGACGACAAACAAAAUCCUAGCAACCUCGAAAAGAAUAUGGAGCAGGUGAACGGUUUUUCUCCUGUAUGCGUGCCCGUGUGUCCAACCAAGGAGACCUUGCGAGCAAAUGUUUCGCCACAAAUUGAACAACAAAAAGGUUUUUCUCCGAGCACUUCAAACGUUUGUCGUCACCUUCGCAGUCCGUACCGCUCCUCGACAAUUCUUCCGUGUCUUCGCUAUGUGACAGUGGAGCUAGGUUGUCUGCUGCUGGCGGUACUCCAUGGUGGUCUCCACUUGGAC